UGCCGAUGAUGUAUUUAUGCACGUAUUAUCAGAUAUCAAAGUGUGAUGAUAUAUGUCAUUGUUGUCACUACCUCUGAGGCA